AGCCUACGGGGCGCAGCAGUGAGGAAUAUUGGUCAAUGGGCGCGAGCCUGAACCAGCCAAGUCGCGUGAGGGAAGAAGGCUUUCGGGUUGUAAACUUCUUUUAAGGGGGAAGAGCGGAAGACGGUACCCCUUGAAUAAGCCACGGCUAACUACGUGCCAGCAGCCGCGGUAAUACGUAGGUGGCAAGCGUUGUCCGGAUUUACUGGGUGUAAAGGGCGUGCAGCCGGGAAGACAAGUCAGAUGUGAAAUCCCGCGGCUCAACCGCGGAACUGCAUUUGAAACUGUUUUUCUUGAGUAUCGGAGAG
rnacentral:rRNA from 1 species